GCCUGUGUGGUAUAGUGGGUUGAGAGGUUGACUAGGACUCCAAGGGACUGGGGUUCAAAUCCCUGCUCAGCUG